AUGUGCGCACGGCGAAGCGGUCGCGGCCGGCCCUUGUCCCUUUCCAGGAGCCCGCCAUCUUCGCGCGUGAGACCCUCUCGCGCAGCCCGCACUGGACCCAGCGACGUCCCCCAGCUUCCCGCGCCGGCGUUUCUCGCAGGAUGUCCGCCGCUCACGUUGGGAAAAGCGGUGGACAGGAAGUGCACGGGCCGGGCGCCGGGGUCGGGGGGAAGCCAGACGCACCCCCAGCCGCGCACCCCAUCCCGUGCCGGCUCUGCCCAGAUGCCCUUAGCCCACCGAGGCCACGGGCAGGGGGCGACCAGGGCAGGCAAGGUCGGUGCUGGGGCCUGGCGGGGGCGGGCAGCGCGGGCUAAGGGCAGGGGCAGGUGGCUGCGGGCGUCGGGGACGGUCGGGGGGCAGGAAGAAGCCGCGCGACAUCCUCUGUGGGGUCCCGGGCUGCAGGCGGGCUCCGGAGGGAACAGCCGGGCCUCCACCAGGUCUGUGUUUGGCUUCGGAGGAGCGCUCCAGCCAGCCCGGCUCGCAGGGCCCAGAGGGUGGCCGAGGGCAGGGCCGCUCGACAGGAGCCUGAGACACAGGCACAUUGAUUUGUUAGCGGGACCAGGCUGUGGGGGGGUGGAAGUUGCCAUGGAGACCGGGGGUCGGGUGUGCGGGGCGGGGGGCGGGGGCCGGGGGAGAAGCGGGCCGAUGGGCGCGCCGCAGGCUCUCGGGGUUCGGGCGCGGCCCGCGGCGCCCCAGCACCUGUGCAUUGUGCAUUGUGCGGCGCGAGCGGCGGGGGGAGGGGAGGGCGCGAGUCCUGGGCGGUGGGGGUGGGGCGGGCCGGGGUCUGCCGAGGGGCGGAGCUGGGCUGACAUCGCCGCGGGGAUCCCAGCGAGAGCUGUGGGGGACGCCGAACACCGGAGGGACAACUUGGUGGCGGGGGAGGGGGCCCCGGCGAGGACAGAGGGCGGCCGGCCCCCCUCGCCAGCCCAACAGACUGACAGCGGCCGGGCCCGCCCUCCACGCGGCGUCACUUCCGGCGGCGCCCCCUCCCUCUUGCGCGCUCCGUCUCUGGAGUCGCCUCGGACUCCGCCCCCUGGCGAUUGGAACGCGGGUCACGUAGCAACGCGGGGGAGAAAGGGAGAGGGGCGUGGCUCGGAGUUCGUCCAAUCAGCGUGCGGGGGCGCAGGCCUCCGGCCGCUCGGCUUUAGCAACGUCGUUAGCAACACGUGGGGCGGGAGGAAGCGCUGGGCGGAGGGGAGGGGGCCGAGCGGAGGAGCGCGGGAGGGGGGCCGCGGGAGGGAGCGAGAGCGCCGGGAGGGGGAGGAGAACUGA
rnacentral:lncRNA from 1 species